rnacentral:rRNA from 1 species
UUAGGUGAACCUGCGGAAGGAUCAU